CCCAGCACCGAAGCCUGUGGCCGUUUGGCCCCUAGGCAAUGUGGUGUUCAGGUUGGCUCGCGGGGAUACUGCUCCAUCCUAAGUCCUAAAAUGAGUAAGGUUACUCGGACAUGGCCCAAUGAGGGUGAAAGGCCCGUGGGGGUGGAGAGUCAGACUGGCCAGUAUCUCCCUGAGCAGACCUUGGAGUCGGGUUGUUUGUGAAUGCAGCCCAAAGUGGGUGGUAAACUCCAUCCAAGGCUAAAUACUAGCACGAGUCCGAUAGCGAACAAGUACCGUGAGGGAAAGUUGAAAAGUACUUUGAAGAGAGAGUAAACAGUGCGUGAAACCGUUCAGAGGUAAACGGGUGGAGUUGAACUGCAAGCUCUGAGGAUUCAGCUGGUGAGAUUGGCGUGAUCUUGGUCACGUGGGUUGUAUUGCCGUGUCUGCUUAGCUGCAGGUCUUCGCUUCGGUGGGGAUGCGCGCCUAGCUUAUCAAGCUUGUGCGCACGGGAAUCUUUCAAACUCGCUUGCCAGUGCACUUUCUCGGAGUGUUCACCACGACCGGCGUUGUCGUCUGGCUGGUGCGGUUAAACCGGUCUUGUAGGGUCCUCGUGGCCUUGCUUGGUCGGGAUGGCAGGUAGCCCGUUGUGUAUUUAUAUGCUUCGGGUGUAAUAGCCGACUGCAUCGGUUCUGUGCGGUACGUCGGAGGCGGCGGCUUGUUGUGUAUGCAGGCGUGCUUGUGCGCUGGCGGCUCUGGGUCUGGUUGCCUUGUUGCUUGUGAAUGCAGGCCAGGUGAUGGCUCGGGGUCGUUCGGUGCGCGGUGGCGUUUGUUGCACUUUGAAGGGCCAAUAGUCUGUGGUGUAGUGGUAGACUAUCCACCCGACCCGUCUUGAAACACGGACCAAGGAGAGUAACAUGUGCGCGAGUCAUUGGGCGUUACGAAAUCCAAAGGCGAAGUGAAAGUAAAGGUUCGGCUUGUCCGAGCUGAGGUGAGAUCUUGUCGUUUCUCACGCAUGGUACUACCAAGCAUCGAGCGGCAGGCGCAUCACCGGCCCGUCUCAUGGCGUAGUGGCGGCUUCGUGCUUGCUCAUCGUCGGGGCGGAGCAUGAGCGUACACGUUGAGACCCGAAAGAUGGUGAACUAUGCUUGCGCAGGUUGAAGCCAGAGGAAACUCUGGUGGAGGACCGCAGCGAUUCUGACGUGCAAAUCGAUCGUCAAACGUGAGUAUAUGGGCGAAAGACUAAU
rnacentral:rRNA from 1 species